rnacentral:rRNA from 1 species
CUUAGUGGUAGAAUUGGCAAGUGGGCUUAUGCUUUGAUUGAGUAUGAUUUGGCUUAUGAAUCUCUAAAAUCCAUGAAAGGCCAAAUUGUUGCUAAUUUUAUUGUUGAACAUCGGAUUAAUGACAAGCAUGAUGUUGAUAUGAACCUUGUUUCAUUAGUACCAUGGAGAUUGUACUUUGAUGGUUCAGUUUGUAGCAAUGGCCAAGGUGUUGGUAUUGUUUAUAUAUCUCCUCAUGGUGCUGUUUUUGAAGCCUCAUGCCGCUUAGAAUAUUUUUGCACAAACAAUCAAGCCGAAUAUGAAGCAUUGUUAUUCGGUCUAGAGAUGUUACUUGCUAUAGGUGUUACACAUAUUGAGGCUGACGGUGAU